AUUGAACGCUGGCGGCAGGCCUAACACAUGCAAGUCGAGCGAGCGGCGGACGGGUGAGUAAUGUAUGGGGACUGCCCGAUGGAGGGGGAUAACUACUGGAAACGGUAGCUAAUACCGCAUACUAUCAGAUAACCCAUAUGGGAUUAGCUAGUAGGUGAGGUAACGGCUCACCUAGGCGACGAUCCCUAGCUGGUCUGAGAGGAUGAUCAGCAACACUGGGACUGAGACACGGCCCAGACUCCGACGGAGGCAGCAGUGGGGAAUCUUCGGCAAUGGGCGAAAGUCUGACCGAGCAACGCCGCGUGGAUGAAGAAGGUUUUCGGGUCGUAAAACUCUGUUGUUGGGGAGGCGGUACCGGACCAGAAAGCCACGGCUAACUACGUGCCAGCAGCCGCGGUAAUAC
rnacentral:rRNA from 1 species